UGGGUGACAUGGAUGAUAUGGAAGAUUUUGAAGGCUUUGGUGAUGAAGAUGAUGAUGGAGAUGAAGAUGAUAUGGAAGAGCCAGUAACAAAGAAACCCAAGCGAUCGGACUCUGAUUCAAGUUCAAAGAUUGGGCGGAAAUCUAGGAAGGUUAUCACCGAGGUGGUAGAAGACGAGGACAGGGGUAGCAGGCAAAGGACACGAAUGUGAUUCUUCAGGCACGGCUUCAGUAACAUGCUUGGUGUCGAUGAUGUUGUACUUUAGAUAAUUUUGCCUGUCUUUCUCGUGAUGACCGCAUCUCUCUUCUAUGUGAUGGUAGUUUAGAAGAUCGAUAUCGACUUGUAAUGUGAAGACAAACUCGCUACUCGCGGU